CAUGGAGCUCACUGUGAUGCAGCGCUUCCACGAGCAUACACACAGCUCUAGCGUGCCUCCAUCUCUGCGGACUGUGCUUGGACGGCUCAGCAUGCUCUACGGCCUGUGGUGCCUGAGCCAACACACGGCCCUGCUCUACCGAGGUGGCUACAUCUCUGGGGAGCAAACAGGAAAAGCGAUGGAGGAUGCCAUCCUGAUGCUGUGUGUGCAGCUGAAAGACGAUGCGGUGGCCUUGGUGGACGCGAUUGCCCCUUCUGACUUUGUCCUGGGCUCCCCAAUUGGCAGAGCUGAUGGCGAGGCAGCUGCUCUGUUCGGAACCUCUACCAGAGCCAGAGCCAAGAGGUGAGUGGGGACACAGCCAGCUCCCUGGAACUCACAGUCAAGAUGAUCGGCAGGCAGAAAGGACCCCUGACAGCCAUUACAACACUGUGGGUCACCUCUGUGCUAAAGGGUGUGCAAACGGGGGGGGGGGAGGCUGUCUUACAUGAGUGGCCCGUGGAGAUGGGGAAAUAUCCACUAGGAUCUCAGAAUAUAACCAUGUUUGAAAAU
rnacentral:lncRNA from 1 species